rnacentral:ncRNA from 1 species
CAAAGGCUUGGUCCUGACUUUAUUGUCAACUUUAACUAAACUUACACAUGCAAGUAUCCGCAUACCCGUGAGGACGCCCAAUAGUUUUCUUAUUUGAAAACGAGGAGCCGGUAUCAGGCACAAAUCUUAGCCCAUAACACCUUGCAUAGCCACCCCUCCAAAGGAAUUCAGCAGUGAUAAACAUUAAGCAAUGAGUGAAAGCUCGACUUAGUUAUAAGCAUUAAGAGGACCGGUAAAACUCGUGCCAGCUACCGCGGUUAUACGAGAGGUUCAAGUUGACAAUCCUGCGGCGUAAAGCGUGAUUAAGAAACAUAAAAACUAAAGUCAAACACUUUCUCAGCUGUUAUACGCCCCUGAAAACAUGAAGCCCGCCCACGAAAGUGACUUUAAAAAAUCUGACUUCACUAAAACUGUGGAACAAACUGGGAUUAGAUACCCCACUAUGCACAGACGUAAACUUAGAUAAUACACUACUUUUUAUCCGCCCGGGAACUACGAGCAAAAGCUUAAAACCCAAAGGACUUGGCGGUGCUUUAGACCCCCCUAGAGGAGCCUGUUCUAUAACCGAUAAUCCCCGUUAAACCUCACCUACUCUUGUCAUUUUCCGCCUAUAUACCGCCGUCGUCAGCUUACCCUGUAAAGGAUGUAACAGUAAACAAAAUCGGCUCAGCCCAAAACGUCAGGUCGAGGUGUAGCAUAUGAGUAGGGAAGAAAUGGGCUACAUUUCCUAGCCUAGGAAAUUACGAAAUAUAUAAUGAAAAAAUAUAUAAAGGAGGAUUUAGCAGUAAACAGAAAGUAGAGCGUUCUGUUGAAACCGGCCCUGAAGCGCGCACAUACCGCCCGUCACUCUCCCCGAAUCUGUCUGUAAACUUAAUUAAAACCUAAUAUUUGAUAAGGGGAGGCAAGUCGUAACAUGGUAAGUGUACCGGAAGGUGCACUUGGAAAAAA